rnacentral:lncRNA from 1 species
CGACACUAUCAUAUAAGUGUCUGUAUAUGUCGGAGUCUCCUACAUCUUUUUGGAUAUUUUCAUGAAAAAAUCAUACCUUGGUAACUAGGGCAUAGAGUGAUGGGGUGAUAUAGCUGCAUAAGAAUUGGCCCACAAACCUGGAUAAUGGAAACAAGAGAUAAGAAUACUGAGAGGUUUAAUUUUUUAUGANACAAACCUGGAUAAUGGAAACAAGAGAUAAGAAUACUUAGAGGUUUAAUUUUGUAUGAAAUUCAUGUCAAAAUUGAAAGGAACUUCAUUCAAACCCUAAAAACAGGUGUAUGUACGCGAGCAUGUGGUUCUUGAUGAAAAAAUCAUUAUAAUUGAAUUUCCACUAGAAUAACAAAAGUGUAUAGUUGAUGUAUAAAUAUAUAAUGCCAACUUUUGAGAUGAAAAUAUGUUAGGGGAUUAAGUAGAAGAAAUUACCCAGAACCAAAAGAAAGAAGCUAGCUCAAACACUUUCUACAUACGAAUUGAUCAUGAGUUAUGAAGUUGUUCUACUUGCCCUAAAGACAAACACUUGAUGGAAAUGAAGAAUCAAAU